rnacentral:rRNA from 1 species
CCUACGGGUGGCAGCAGUGAGGAAUAUUGGUCAAUGGUCGGGAGACUGAACCAGCCAAGCCGCGUGAGGGAUGAAGGUACAGAGUAUCGUAAACCUCUUUUGUCAGGGAACAAAGGCGGGGACGUGUCCCCGGAUGAGUGUACCUGAAGAAAAAGCAUCGGCUAACUCCGUGCCAGCAGCCGCGGUACUACGGAGGAUGCGAGCGUUAUCCGGUUUUAUUGGGUUUACGGGGGGCGCAGGCGGUCUUGUAAGUCAGCGGGAAAAGCCGGGGGAUCAAACCCGGCCCGCCGUUGAAACUGGCAGUCUCGAGUUGGAGAGAAGUAUGCGGAAUGCGCGGUGUAGCGGUGAAAUGCAUAGAUAUCGCGCAGAACUCCGAUUGCGAAGGCAGCAUGCCGGCUCCACACUGACGCUGAGGCACGAAAGCGUGGGUAUCGAACAGGAUUAGAUACCCCAGUAGUC